GAAUAUUGCACAAUGGGCGAAAGCCUGAUGCAGCAACGCCGCGUGAGCGAUGAAGGCCUUCGGGUCGUAAAGCUCUGUCCUCAAGGAAGAUAAUGACGGUACUUGAGGAGGCAGCCCCGGCUAACUACGUGCCAGCAGCCGCGGUAAUACGUAGGGGGCUAGCGUUAUCCGGAAUUACUGGGCGUAAAGGGUGCGUAGGCGGUCUUUCAAGCCAGAAGUGAAAGGCUACGGCUCAACCGUAGUAAGCUUUUGGAACUGUAAGACUUGAGUGCAGGAGAGGAGAGUGGAAUUCCUAGUGUAGCGGUGAAAUGCGUAGAUAUUAGGAGGAACACCAGUAGCGAAGGCGGCUCUCUGGACUGUAACUGACGCUGAGGCACGAAAGCGUGGGGAGCAAACA
rnacentral:rRNA from 1 species